CUGAAUUUCCCACCUCUUUGUCACAAAUGUCUAAAGGAACUGUGAAUAAUGAACCUUCUAUUAUUACUUUUCCAUUUUCUAACUUUUGGCUUUUCAUUUCAGUGUAAUCUCUUCUAAGAAUGACUACUACGUAGCAUCCAGCGGUUUUGUCUGGCACAGGCAACAGAAAUUAUUUACAGUGUUGGGUCUGUCCUCCAUGGUUUCCCUUCAGCUUGUGGUCAAGCUGGCUGAAGAUAUCUCAUCUACAGGAAUGGAUUUAUCUAGAUCACAAGUAAGCAGAGAGGCAUACAGAGAGAGAGGAGGAAGCAGGCUCCCUGUGGAGCAGAGAACCUGAUGUGGGGCUCGAUCCCAGGACCCGGGGAUCAUGACCUGAGCCGAAGGCAGAGGCUUUAACCCACCGAGCCAACCAGGCACCCCUCAUCUUUCAAGUUUCUUACUGCUUCUUGCUCCCCAGCAAUUUUCUCAUUUGGCAACACCUUGAGAAGGCCUAAACACUUUCCUGUAUGAUAAAGCACGGCACCUUUGUCCUGUCACCCUAGGGAAUGUGUUAUAUAAGUCAAUGGAUAUGACUUGUGUGAUUUUCUCCCAAAUGAUUAAAACAGAGAAAUUGUAUAACUGUAUAGAUUUACUUAUAGAUUUAUAAACUGUAUAGUUUAUUUAUUGAGUCUCUGAUACCAGGCUAUACAUAUUAUUGAAUGUAUAAUUACAAACAUCAGAUUAGGAAUACUACUAUUGGAUAGAAUAUGUUGGUCUAAGAGGACAUUUAGUACCUUUCAAAUUGAUUAUAAAUGUUAAUGUUUUAAAUAUGCAAAAUGUAUGUAACUAUAUGUGUAGUUUAUAAUUAAGAGAACAUUCUUCCC
rnacentral:lncRNA from 1 species